GGUCCCGUAGCUCAGUCUGGUUAGAGCACCAGGCUUUUAACCUGGGUGUCGAGGGUUCAAAUCCCUUCGGGGCCA
rnacentral:tRNA from 2 species